rnacentral:lncRNA from 1 species
GGAUUAAACAAGAGAAGGUGAUUAGACAAGGUAACAUUAACAAGAGUAGAGGUUCAGACAUAACAUUAAGGAUGAUCUCAUCCAUCCUUCUAACAAGUAGGUGGUAGAGAUGGUUGUCCUUCCAAAGGACCAGGCGCUGCUGCAAACUGUCCUGCACUCUUAGACGACCUGCGAUGCGGCGUGGGACUAGAACUGCAACCACCAAGAGGCCCACAAGGGUCUAACACUGGCGGCGGAGACACCCACAUGCACAGGAUUCCUCGACAGGGAUAGUCAUCUUCGAAACUGAUUUCCCCCAUGGCAUGGCCAAAAGCAAUGGCGGCCAUGGAAAUAGAAAGAAGCUUCAACAGACCUGAUGAUGAGUGACCUCUUAUCAGCAUUUUCUCUACAUAAACGCUCACUCUUAUAUUAUAAUACCU